rnacentral:rRNA from 1 species
GACGAACGCUGGCGGUGUGCUUAACACAUGCAAGUCGAACGGUAAGGCCCUUUCGGGGGUACACGAGUGGUGAACGGGUGAGUAACACGUGAGUAACCUGCACUCAUCUCUGGGAUAACAGUAGGAAACGGUUGCUAAUACUGGAUAUGAGCCUGCAUGGCAUCCUGUGGGUUGGAAAGUUUGUUUGGUUGGGGCUGGACUUGCGGCCUAUCAGCUUGCUGGUGAGGUAGUGGGUCACCAAGGCUUCGACGGGUAGCCGGCCUGCGAGGGCGACCGGCGACAUUGAGACUGAGAUACGGCCCAAGCUCCGACGGGAGGCAGCAGUGGGGAAGAUUGCACAAUGGACGGAAGGCGGAUGCAGCAGCGCCGCGGGCGGUAUGACGGCCUUCGGGUUGUAGACCGCAUUCAAUUGUGACUGAGCAUUUUGUGACGGUAGCAGAAGAAGAAGCACCGGCUAACUACGUG